AAAUCCUCACAGUCAAACUGUCAAACAGAUGGCGUGCCUUCAAAACUACUAAACAGGGAUAACAGCUUAACAGAUAACAAGCUCCAAAUCCUCACAGUCAAACUGUCAAACAGAUGGCGUGGCAUCAAAAGUACUGAAUGGGGAUAACAGCCUAAUAGAUAACAAGCUCCAAAUCCUCACAGUCAAACUAUCAAACAGAUGGCGUGCCAUCAAAACGGGGACAACAACUUAACAGAUAACAAGCUCCAAAAAAGUCCAACAGGCAUUCCGAUACCACCAGUACACGCAUAUGAAAUUCAAACAAAAAAAAAACAAAAAACCUUGAAUUUCAUAAACAUGAAACAAGUUAAUCAAGGAACUUGGGUUGUUGUAGCACAAUAAGGAAAGCAUGUACUGAAGUCUUUACAGGGAAAUAUCUGAAGAGCACCUGCCAGAGAGAGAUAGAUAAACUAGACAGCUAGGGGGGAAUUAGUUAGACUUGUGACUGAAUCAAGUGGUGCAUUUGCAUCUGAGUCGGAAAGCUAUCUAAGGACUAGGUUAUGGAACGUUUCCCCCCCAACCCCCUCGGGG
rnacentral:lncRNA from 1 species